GGGAGGGGAGUGAAAGAGAACCUGAAACCCUGUGUUUACAAGCUGUGGAACUACGUUAAGGUAGGACCGCGUACUUUUUGUAGAACGGUCCGGCGAGUUUCUUGUACCGGCAAGGUUAAGCACUUAAGGUGCGGAGCCGAAGUGAAAGCAAGUGUUAAUAGCACGCAUAAGUCAGUACAAGAAGACCCGAAACCGGGUGAUCUACCCAUGUCCAGGUUGAAGUCGCCGUAAAAGGCGAUGGAGGACCGAACGCACAUCCGUUGAAAAGGGUGGCGAUGAGGUGUGGGUAGGGGAGAAAUUCCAAUCGAACCCGGAGAUAGCUGGUUCUCCUCGAAAUAGCUUUAGGGCUAGCCUCGUAUUAGUCUGCCGGAGGUAGAGCACUGAAUUUCCUAGGGGGCGUCAAAGCCUACCGAAGAAUAUCAAACUCCGAAUGCCGGCCAGAUGAUGUACGGGAGUCAGACUGCACGAGAUAAGUUGGGUGGUCAAAAGGGAAAGAGCCCAGACCUACAGCUAAGGUCCCAAAGUGUGUGUUAAGUGGAAAAGGAUGUGGGAUUUCGAAGACAACUAGGAUGUUGGCUCAGAAGCAGCCAUACAUUCAAAGAGUGCGUAAUAGCUCACUAGUCGAGAGGUCCUGCGCCGAAAAUGUCCGGGGCUAAAACACGACACCGAAGCUGUGGAUCCGAAAGGAUGGUAGAGGAGCAUUCUUAAGUCGACGAAGCUGUACUGUAAGGAGCAGUGGAGAGUUAAGAAGAGAGAAUGCCGGAAUGAGUAGCGAGAUUUAAGUGAGAAUCUUAAAGGCCGAAUAUCUAAGGUUUCCAGGGUAAAGCUGAUCUUCCCUGGGUAAGUCGGGGCCUAAGGCGAGGGCGAGAGCCGUAGUCGAUGGAUAACAGGUUGAAAUUCCUGUACUGCCUUAUAACAGAACUGUGGGGACGCGGCGGCAGGCCACGAGCCGGGAAAGGAAAGCCCGGUGCAAGCGUGCGAUGGUCAGGGAGGCAAAACCCCCUGAGGAACAGGACACGUGAUGCGGAGCGAAAUAAAGUAGCGAAGAGUGGUGAGCCGGCGCCGAGAAAAGCCGCUAUUGUUUGUAAGGUACCCGUACCGUAAACCGACACAGGUGGAUGAGGAGAGAAUCCUAAGGCCGACGGGAGAAGCAUUGUUAAGGAACUCGGCAAAAUGACCCCGUAACUUCGGGAGAAGGGGUGCCCAUGAAAGUGGGCCGCAGAGAAUAGGCUCAAGCAACUGUUUAGCAAAAACACAGGUCUAUGCAAAACCGAAAGGUGAAGUAUAUGGGCUGACGCCUGCCCGGUGCUGGAAGGUUAAGGGGAGAGGUUAGCGCAAGCGAAGCUUUGAACUUAAGCCCCAGUAAACGGCGGCCGUAACUAUAACGGUCCUAAGGUAGCGAAAUUCCUUGUCGGGUAAGUUCCGACCCGCACGAAAGGCGUAAUGAUUUGGGCACUGUCUCAACAACACACCCGGUGAAAUUGAAAUACCAGUGAAGAUGCUGGUUACCUGCGCCAGGACGGAAAGACCCCAUGGAGCUUUACUCCAGCUUGAUACUGGGAUUCGGUAUUGCAUGUACAGGAUAGGUGGGAGGCUAUGAAGUGGGAACGCCAGUUUCCAUGGAGCCGACGUUGGGAUACCACCCCUGCAGUACUGGGCUUCUAACAUGCGGCCGUAAGCCGGCCGGUGGACAAUGCCAGGCGGGGAGUUUGACUGGGGCGGUCGCCUCCGAAAGAGUAUCGGAGGCGCUCAAAGGUUCCCUCAGAAUGGUUGGAAACCAUUCGAAGAGUGCAAAGGCAGAAGGGAGCUUGACUGCGACACCGACGGGUGGAGCAGAUACGAAAGUAGGACUUAGUGAUCCGGUGGUAUAAAGUGGGAUUGCCAUCGCUCAACGGAUAAAAGCUACCCUGGGGAUAACAGGCUUAUCACUCCCAAGAGUUCACAUCGACGGAGUGGUUUGGCACCUCGAUGUCGGCUCAUCGCAUCCUGGGGCUGUAGCAGGUCCCAAGGGUUGGGCUGUUCGCCCAUUAAAGCGGUACGCGAGCUGGGUUCAGAACGUCGUGAGACAGUUCGGUCCCUAU
rnacentral:rRNA from 1 species